GACGAACGCUGGCGGCGUGCUUAACACAUGCAAGUCGAACGGUGAAGCGCCUUCCUUUUUGGUGGGUGUGGAUGAGUGGCGAACGGGUGAGUAACACGUGAGUAACCUGCCCCCUUCUUCUGGAUAACCGCAUGAAAGUGUGGCUAAUACGGGAUAUUCUGGGUCUGUCGCAUGAUGGGUCUGGGAAAGAUAUUGUUUCGGUGGGGGAUGGGCUCGCGGCCUAUCAGCUUGUUGGUGGGGUGAUGGCCUACCAAGGCGGUGACGGGUAGCCGGCCUGAGAGGGUGGACGGUCACACUGGGACUGAGACACGGCCCAGACUCCUACGGGAGGCAGCAGUGGGGAAUAUUGAACAAUGGGCGCAAGCCUGAUGCAGCGACGCCGCGUGAGGGAUGGAGGCCUUCGGGUUGUGAACCUCUUUCGCCAGUGAAGCAGGCCUGCCUCGUUUGUGGGUGGGUUGACGGUAGCUGGAUAAGAAGCGCCGGCUAACUACGU
rnacentral:rRNA from 1 species